rnacentral:rRNA from 1 species
CCUACGGGUGGCUGCAGUAGGGAAUAUUGCUCAAUGGGCGAAACCCUGAACCAGCAAAGCCGCGUGGAGGAUGAAGGUUUUAGGAUUGUUAACUCCCUUUGUUAGAGAAGUUUAUGACGGUAUCUAACGAAUAAGCACCGGCUAACUCCGUGCCAGCAGCCGCGGUAAUCCGGAGGGUGCAAGCGUUACUCGGAAUCACUGGGCGUAAAGAGUGCGUAGGCGGGGUAAUAAGUCAGAUGUGAAAGCCUGUAGCUUAACUACAGAACUGCAUUUGAAACUGUUACUCUGGAGUGUGGGAGAGGUAGGUGGAAUUCGUGGUGUAGGGGUAAAAUCCGUAGAGAUCAAGAAGAAUACUCAUUGCGAAGGCGGCCUGCUGGAACAUUACUGACGCUGAUGCACGAAAGCGUGGGGAGCGAACAGGAUUAGAUACCCCGGUAGUC